rnacentral:rRNA from 1 species
CUUUGGGAUAACCCUCGGAAACGGGGGCUAAUACCGAAUACGACCUUCUGCCGCAUGGUGGGGGGUGGAAAGUUUUUCGGCCUGGGAUGGGCUCGCGGCCUAUCAGCUUGUUGGUGGGGUGAUGGCCUACCAAGGCGACGACGGGUAGCCGGCCUGAGAGGGCGACCGGCCACACUGGGACUGAGACACGGCCCAGACUCCUACGGGAGGCAGCAGUGGGGAAUAUUGCACAAUGGGCGGAAGCCUGAUGCAGCGACGCCGCGUGAGGGAUGACGGCCUUCGGGUUGUAAACCUCUUUCAGCAGGGACGAAGCGCACGUGAUGGUACCUGCAGAAGAAGCGCCGGCCAACUACGUGCCAGCAGCCGCGGUAAGACGUAGGGCGCGAGCGUUGUCCGGAUUUAUUGGGCGUAAAGAGCUCGUAGGCGGCUUGUCGCGUCGACUGUGAAAACUUGGGGCUCAACCCCAAGCCUGCGGUCGAUACGGGCAGGCUAGAGUUCGGUAGGGGAGACUGGGAUUCCUGGUGUAGCGGUGAAAUGCGCAGAUAUCAGGAGGAACACCGGUGGCGAAGGCGGGUCUCUGGGCCGAUACUGACGCUGAGGAGCGGAAGCGUGGGGAGCGAACAGGAUUAGAUACCCUGGUAAUCCACGCUGUAAACGUUGGGCGC